rnacentral:tRNA from 1 species
CGCGGGGUGGAGCAGUCCGGUAGCUCGCGAGGCUCAUAACCUCGAGGUCGCAGGUUCGAAUCCUGUCCCCGCAAC